CCUACGUGUGGCAGCAGUGAGGAAUAUUGGUCAAUGGGCGGAAUCCUGAACCAGCCAUGCCGCGUGCGGGAUGAAGGCUCUACGAGUCGUAAACUGCUUUUGUACGGGGGUAACACCCUCUACGUGUAGGGUUCUGCAAGUACCGUACGAAUAAGGACCGGCUAAUUCCGUGCCAGCAGCCGCGGUAAUACGGAGGAGCCGAGCGUUAUCCGGAUUCAUUUGGGUUAAAGGGUGCGUAGGCUGUGUUACAAGUUAGCGGUUAAAUCCCGAUGCUCAACCUCGGGCCUGCAGCUGAUCCUGUACGACUAGAGAGCAGAUGCGGCAGGCGGAAUGUGUGGUGUAGCGGUGAAAUGCAUAGAUAUUACACGGAACACCGAUUGCGAAGGCAGCUUGCUGGGCCGGGUCUGACGCUGAGGCACGAAGGCGUGGGGAUCAAACAGGAUUAGAUACCCGGGUAGUC
rnacentral:rRNA from 1 species